AUGCUCACUUUGGCAGCACAUAUACUAAAAUUGGAAUGAUACAGAGAAGAAUAACAUUGCCCCUUUGCAAGGAUGA
rnacentral:snRNA from 1 species